rnacentral:lncRNA from 1 species
CUCGUCGCCUAUUUGUCGGAAACGAGCACCUGCAAAAUGAAGUCCGUACUGACCGGAGUUGUCUCUGACAGGGACCCUCCGAUGCUCAAGUCAAAGAAGGGGACUGGGCAACAGUUGAAUGAGAACAGGACAGAGCUCAGCGAUUAGGAUUAGCUUACUGAAAUUUGUUGCCUUACCUCUUUUUAUAGAGUAGAUCGUCGUAACUGCCGGAUAUGGUCUC